AAGUCGUAACAAGGUUUCCGUAGGUGAACCUGCGGAAGGAUCAUUAACACUCCAAACGUUAAAACCCCCCCCGUGAACCUUCAUCCUGCUCUUGUAACCCGCGUAGUUCGCAAUCUCUGAUAAAUCAUAGCCCGGAAAGUUGUAGUGAUUCAGAGACCUCUCGCGGGCAGGAGCUUUGCCAAAGGGUCCCCAUGCCCCCUAAUCACCCCACAGUUUAAUGUAAAGCUCAAUGUAAUACAUUGGGUCAAAAAACCGAACAACUGUUAACAAUGGAUAUCUUGGUUCUC
rnacentral:misc_RNA from 1 species